rnacentral:rRNA from 1 species
AGACUCCUACGGGAGGCAGCAGUAGGGAAUAUUGUCCAAUGGGCGCAAGCCUGAGACAGCCAUGCCGCGUGUGUGAAGAAGGCCUUCGGGUUGUAAAGCACUUUCAGCGGGGAGGAAGAAGCCGGAGUUAAUAGCUCUGGUUGAUGACGUUACCCGCAGAAGAAGGACCGGCUAACUCCGUGCCAGCAGCCGCGGUAAUACAGAGGGUGCGAACGUUGCUCGGAUUUACUGGGCGUAAAGCGCGUGUAGGCGGACUCGCAAGUCGGUUGUGAAAUCCCUGGGCUUAACCUAGGAACUGCAUCCGAAACUGCUUGUCUUGAGUAAUGGGAGAGGGUGGCGGAAUUCCCGGUGUAGAGGUGAAAUUCGUAGAUAUCGGGAGGAACAUCAGUGGGCGAAGGCGGCCCUCUGGCACUUGACUGACGCUGAGGCGCGAAAGCGUGGGGGAGCAAACAGGAUUAGAUACCCUGGUAGUCCACGCUGUAACGUGAAAAGUCAAGGUGGUUGGGCUCGCGGAGGGUUCAGUGCCGUAGGGAACCAUUAAUAUUCCGCCUGGGGAGUACGACCGCAAGGUUAAAACUCAAAGGAAUUGACGGGGCCCGCACAAGCGG